UUUACCGUCGAAAAAAUUUUUAUUAAACUUUAUUGUGCAUGUUUCUAAAAAAUACGUCUAAAAUUAAAAGUUGAUUGUGAUAAGUUGUUAAAAUACGUGUUUCUGUUUUAAACUAUUUUACAACAUAUUUAAAAUUUUUUUUCUUUUGGAAGGGAAAGGGAGAAGAGAGAAAUAACAUUACUGUUUCUUGUGAAAGAAAAUUUUACUUAUAAACUGUUGCGUAUUGUACGCAACAAGAACAAAGUAUCACUGUAAAUUACUCAGCUCCGUGAGAUUAGUUGAGAUAAUUGGAUGGCACCAGCAGCCUGAAGGCAAAACGUGAAACUACGCGAGAAACGUGGGGCGGAAUGACGUUGAUUUUAUGAAAUUAGGCGGACAUGGUAAAUCGAGAAGCGAUAAACCUACCGCUAACCCGAACUUUGAUGGUACGUUGACCCACGGUUGUCCAGCUGUAUAGCCAGCGGUAUGAAUCAAUAUUAAUUUUGCUAAUUAUGUCCUAUCCUAUUACGAUAGUAAUAUCGAUAGUAAUAUCGAUGUGCCGAGGAGCUGUCAUUUCCGUCGGAGCAAACGCACCUUGCGCUUUAAUUAAUUGAUACGUGAUCGUUAAAACCUUUUGCAUGCCGUAGCCGUGAUAUCAGUUUUGCAAGGAUUAUUUUUUUAUGGGACACGAACAAAGUGUUAACUAUACAAGUUAUCUACGAUGAGAUGCAUAUCACUUGUAUGUAAGCAUCUAGCUGAACACGCUGUAACGUUACUUGAAUUUACGUAGCGCAGCCAAUGAUCCGAUCAAAAUUUUAAGACUGGUAAAUUUAAAGUUGGUUUUUUUUCUUCGGGAAAAAGAAGAGAGUUUAGUGCUAUGUGUUUCACUUGCAUUUUAUGCGUAAUUUAUGAUGCGUUAAAAGAAACUCUUCGCGUAUUUCAAGAUUACCAGGACUGUUCAUCGUGAAGCUCAAAGUUUAUCCGACACACACGCGUAGUUUGCGGCGUCAUAAUUUAUCCGGUGUAUUUUGCUAGCAACCAAGGGCGGAGCAACAUCAAUUUCCUUAAUUACGUCAGUCGUGUUCUGAUAUAUUAGGCCAGUAAUUUUGACGUUGUAAUUUCGGGAGCGGCCGUUACUCAAUUCCAUUCCAAGGUUGCAGAUCAAAGCAUAAGCUUUGAAACUAAAUUUCGAAAAAAAAUGCUCGCACUUUUAGACUGAAAGAAAGCUUUACCUUUCGAACAAUAUUUCGAAUAUCCGAUACAAAAAUAAUUUAGUUUUCUCUUAAUUAUAGUAGAUCUGUUGUCAAAGAAGACGAAAUGUGUUUUUACUUUUUUUUUAUUUUCUGUUCUUAUUUUAUAAAAUUAUAUUGGUUGCGUACAAUAUUUCUUACUCAAAUAUGACAUAAUAAUUUUGCUGCUUACAUCAUAAUUUUCUAAUUAACUUUUGGUAUUAUAAUCAUAUAAGAUAAUUGCAAUUAUUAAAAAUAUAUAUAAAAAUUCUACAAAAUAAAAUAAUAGAUAAGGACUGGAAAAAAUUUUUUUCUAUAGUUAUAAACUCUUAUCGUUAUCGUAUGAAACACUUUUAUAUAUGUAUGUAUGUAGAUACGAAUUUUUUUUUAUUUUAAUGAAAGACAUGCAUUACGGGAAUAAUCAGAUAUUACUUCAUUCAGAUAUUUAAAUAUCUGGCACGAUCUCUAAUAACAAAUUUUUUUAAUCUAUUGAAAAAGUUUUUGCGCGUAACAGCAUCUUCAUUAAAAUAAUUCGUAGGUAACCAUAAACGUAAUUUUGGAGAUUUUUUUACUUAUAAAGCUGCUACGAGCAUUGAAAAUACAUAUAUAGUUACUAUACAUACAUACUAUACAUACGUAUACAGUUAAAUAUAAUACAUUUUGUAAAUAUAUUCGUUACAUUUAUCAAAAAAUCCAUAUUGAAAGAGAAAUUGUAUUCGUAAAUUCCUGGUAUAAAAGUUUUUACAAAGUUUUCAAGAAAAAUAUACUCCAAACAUUUGGAACCAUAUUUUUAAAAUAAGAAAGAAGAUUGAAAGAGAGAAAGAGAAAGAUAGAGAAAGGUAGCUUUUCUAUCGCGUUACUAUGAGCUUACAUUCGUGUCGCGAGUGUCAGUGAGGGUAACAAACGUGAUCGAUUUAUGCGAAUUACAUAUAUUGCGCGAGUGUCACAAAUCGGAAAUAUAAUGGUUACAAACGCCAAACGCGAUCCGCGCAAUUAUGGUUGUGGUUAUUCGAUAGGUUGGCACAGAGCGCUCGCUCGGCGUGAAUGUAGCUUUAGUUUAAACUAUAAGCUUUGGAACAUUACGGGGAAACACUCGCGCGUUUGGGGCGUACCGCGGAAAGAAAACUCGGCGACGAGAAUAUGCCGAAUUCGAUUUCAAAGCUUUAAAGUACAGCACGAUUGCCGCAAUUCGCGAAAUUACCUCCGUAUUGUCGUCUGCAAACAAUUUGCGUUCCCUGGCAACGUUGCGGCGCGAUUCGCAUAUUGAUGAAUCUAUAACUGAAGCGAUAAGAACAUAACGGAAGCGAACUCUCGAUGAAGGAUUAUAGUAUCAAAAGAAUACAAAUUAACCCAUUAUAUUGCGAGACGCGUAAAAUAGUUUUUAUAUUAAUCAGUUUUAUUGUGUCACAUUUAACUUUGCAAUUUUUUUCCUUAUGUUAUCUUAGUUGCUUUAUUUUGUUAAUUUUCGCUGCUAUAUAUUAUUUUAUUUUUUCCCUUGUAAGAAAAUUCUCUCUAGUCAAGGUAAACUGAAGGCAGGUAACGACAGCGUACGACGCUACACGUUGAAUUUUUAUCAAGAGAGCAUGAAUCACGUGAUUCUAGUCUGAGCAUCUUGCACAGACACACGAAGAGAGAUGUAAUUAACGCCGUUAUUGAAUGCGCGUUCCGCGAAGAGCGUAAUUAAUGGUAUUAUAGUUCUAACCCUUUUAGGUCGGAGCGAAGUUGCGGAACCCCGCCGCCGUAAUUGUGCCGUCGGUCCACCCUGCCGUGAGUAAUUAAUAUGUAUUGAACGAAGGAUCGAGAUCAUCGUCGUUUAUCACCCUCGAGAGCGCGCGUAAAAGUCCGAGCUACAACAUAAAGUUUUUAUUUAAAGCGCGAGAACCUUGGAAGCCGUUAUUCACAGUAUAGAGAUUCUUGAAAGAGAUGUGAAGGGUAUGAAAGAGAUUGGAGUAAAGAUUAAAUUGUUCCCAAGGAGUAAACGAAGCAUCUCUUCUCCGAUGCCUAAUCUCGUAGCAAUCUCAUUUUAUUCAAGGAAAUUCUGACGUAGUCCUUUAGUCGACUCUUUUGUACCUAAAGAAAUGAGAAAAAGAUGUGAUCCAUAAGUAUAUUGUAUUAUUCGAAAUUGAGAAGUUUUCAUCAAAAGUGAAACUCAGAAUACACUUUUACGAUUGUUUCGCACGAGAGUCCGCAGUUUCGACUUGCCAAAGUGAGUGAGUGACGCACGCAAAGUGAAUGUUUUAAAUUACGUUGUGCCCGUUAGCCAUGAUUUGGUCAGCUCGUCUCUCUCUCUUUUUUUCUUUUUUUUUUUUUUGGAAAAAGCGGAAACCGUGUUUCGGAAAGUAUUACGCUCUCGCUAAAAGUUUCAUCCACUAAAUUACAUUUUCAUCUCCUGCUGAUAACUGGGUUCCGCCAGUUUUCCACGGUUAAAAGAAACGAGUCGUAUAAAAAAAAUUCAAUUACCCACGGUAGACGUCGACGAUGAAGACGUAACUUCGUUCGAUCAGUUUCUUCUUCGACUGCAUCCGCGUCUCGUCCCGUGACGUCCUUCUGUUUGCAUCGUUCGCGAGCGUAUACCGCAGAAGUUGCGAAUUAACUCACGAGAACACACAUCCCCGUAUCUCCGACGUUUGGGAUAAAUUAUACGUCUCUCCUCCCCCGCCGUCGCGGCGCUAACUCGACGGCGAAAUUUCUGGCUGGCUUCGAUGCGUCGAAUCAUGAAAAAGGGAGGUAAGAGAGAUGGCUGGUACGGCAUCGCGUUCACGACACCGUAACGGUCAUGCUACAUGGCGCGCGAACUGGUCCAUACGUCCGAAUAACAUACGGCGACCACGGCGCUGGGCGCCCCGCAAUGUCGCAGCGUCAUUACACCGGCUUAAGAGCACGUAGCACCGAUACUUCGUAAUCGUUAAGCCACCGAUAGUCCAGUCAUGGCAACGGCAACUUUAUUGGAUUCGCGCCGGCUUUACGGCGACUGUUGCACGAAGCUGCAAUUGCUAAGCACACAGCGUUUGCACAGAAAGUAUUUAACCAACGAGUAGUGAUCCACGUGAUGGAGAAGAGAUGUAUAUAAUUUUAAUGGCAGAAAAACUGAAGAAAAUAAGGGAGGAGAACUAAUGAAAUUAUUAAGGUACAGCCGCUUAUCGAGUCUGCAAUUUUCUUGCAAUCUGAUCAAUGAAAUUAUAAUAUGUUAUUAUUUCUUCCUGCGAUUUCUUUCUCGUUUAACGAAGCUAUUAAUUUGAAGGUUUUUUCCCCCCUGUAUUAAUAAUCUCUCUGAUCUUAAUAAUCUUAGGGAAAAAGACUUAAAAUAAAUAACUUCAUUAAACGAGAAAGAAAUCGCAGAAGGAAAUAAUAACAGAUUAUAUUAUAAUUCCAUUGAUCAAAUUGCCAAUGCAAAAAAAAAGACCCGAUAAAUGUCUUUGAUUUCAUCAAUUUUCCUCCUCUUCAGUUUUUCCUCUCUUUAAAAUUACACUUUUACCACGGGUCUUAAUAAUCUUAUAGAGUCUCGUUUUUAAUUCACGCGAAUUUAAUUAUAAAUAAUUUCGCCAAAGCCAAAUGAGCCAUUCGCCCUCGACGUUCGGAAAAUUACGUGGGGACGGGAGACAAUACUUCUUGCGCGGUACAAUCAUCCACAAUGUAUCGAUUAACCGAUUCGUUGGAGCGUUUCCGGGAGCGACAACGUGGCGGUGCUUCGCAUACGGAACAGCCAGACAUAAACAAUAUCUAUCCAGAGUGCGCGGUAUGUUUGCACGUUUGUUUCCCCGUUGGCGUAGGAGUAAUCAACGGCAGCGCACACGGAGAAUUAUCUCUCGAAGUUAACCCUCCGCAUUAAUCGGGCCUGAGAUGCGGCGGCGGGGAUAUCGCGUCGCCAAAUGGUGCCUCUGCAUUUGCGGCACGUUUCUAAACACUGCUGCUGCUGCUGCUCCAUGCGCUUGCUUCUGGCGCCGAGAACGUUCGGUCUGCACCGUGUCGCCCGAUAAUUCAGCAUUUAUUGCACGACCGUGAUACAACGUCCUGCUUAUGAAUAUUCCUUUGUGCGGGCCACGGCUCCGCAUCCUCAUUAACUCCUUCGAUACAUUACAGUUACGUUAUAGUAUGCUCACAUGGUGAACGAUCAAAUAUCGAUAGAGGCUAUGCAUACCCCUGCCCGUUGAGAGUACGCUUAUCGAUCUCAUCAUCAUAAAACGCCUCUCACGAAUUACGCGCGAUCAUACAAGAAUAUGUUCUAAUUAGCAAAGAUUAUUACGUAGAGAUAAAUUUAGAUGUCAUGCAGCAAUAUUUCUUUUUAAUAUCGUCAAAUGUUUAUAAAUGACGUCAGCGCGAGGAAUACGUCGGAAUUACUGCAAACACUCUGCGUUUCGGCAUCCUCAUUUACUUGUCUUUAUGUGAACCGCGAGCUACAGAUUCUCGAAGUACGAACGGCAAGUGCCGCUCAAAUGAAGAGCAGCUCGUUCGUCGCGCAAUCCCGACAGCAAUUUCGAUGCGUUAAUUUCAUUAAAAUCACACAAACGUCGCCGCCGAGAGUGUUCCGUGUGCGCGUACUUAAGGGUAAUGCGUUGCUCCAAAUUGCGUGGUACGUUAAUCGCGGGUUGACGCGGCCGGCCGGAAAACGACGUUAAAACUCCUCGUGCACGUUAACUCUAUCGGAUUUUCGUACGCUCGCUUUGGUUCUCUGCGUUUCGUUCCAUGGUGGCUGCACUUCACCCGAAUUACGUGAAUGCAACGACGUUUCCUGUCGGGCCAAAAACGCCACCCGUUAACCAGUGAUCGACGCGGCCGACAUUAUUCUCGUUUACACGGUCCAAAAAAAAAUCACCAGUAGACAAGUACAUAAAAAUCUCACUUAAAACCAAACUAACAUGCAAAAAUUUACCGUCUUGCUUUAUUAUCUUUCUUUUUAAUUAUAGGACCGUCUUGAUAAUUUAAUUAGUAACACAAGUGUCACUUUUCGGUCGGAGCGGAUUUUGAUAAGAUUUCGAUAAUAAUUAUCAAAUAGAUUAUUCAAUUCUAUAAGCUGCGUCCGAAUAUACAUUGUAAUGCAAUUGUAAACUCAAGCUGGAAAUAAUAUCUUAAAUUAAAUUGAUCGUUAAAUUAAUAAUUAUGCUACAAGCAUCUUAAACUAUAAAGAACUUAUUGCGACAAAUUCUAUCUCAGUUACCAAGAUUAAAUAGAGCUUGUAGCAUCAUUAUUAAAUUGACGAUUAUUUUAAUUUGAGAUAUUAUUUUAAGCUUUCGCUUACGAUUGCAUUACACGUCUGAUAAUCCGUAUCAGCAUGUUGUUUAUAUGAUUAAAAAAUGUAUUUAAUUAAUAUAGAAAUAUUAUUGAACAUAUCGAAAUCUGUUUUGACCAAAAAGUAUUAUUUCUUGUGUUAUUCACAUAUCGCUAUAAUAUUCAAUUACAUUAUUGUUAAUAACUGUGUUUCACAUUUCGAAAUCUUUGGAAUGAGAUUUUUAUUUAAUUAAUAUAUAUUUAAUACAUAUUUAUAAAGGUCUCUAUUAUAUAAAUUGCUUUGCACAAUAUAGCAGAUCUUAGAUUCGGAACACUUGAUAUUUUAUUUUCUCUUUUUUAAUAAUAUUAACGAGACGGCGCGGAGAGAAUAUCGACAUUUGCAGAGCUUUCAACUAAAUGAAUAGGUGCAUUAACCUUUUCUUUGAUAGGGAACAACUGUCGUACGGCUAAUGAAAGAACGGUACGGUUCAUAAAACAUAAUAGUGUAAUUUCUAUUGUAGAAUGAUUUCCACAGGAAAUAUAUUUAUAAAUGAGAUAAGGCAUAAAUUGCUCUAACUUAUUAAAAUAAAAGCCAAGUAUUGCACAGCAUGCAAUUUCAUCAACGGCAACGGGGGAUGUUCUACGUGACCUUUUCUUACGAGAACGAUUAUAAGACCUGCUAUUAUCUCUGGAACGUGAUAUAAUUUCUCUGGAGUAUAAUUUACUAAUUGUAAUGAAGCGAGUAAUUAUGAAUAUUUCAUUAAAUAUAAUUGAUGCGUAUUGUACGAGCAAGUGACCUGUGCUGGCCUUUGAAUGUACGUUCAAUCGUAAUAAGUAUUAAUACGAUUAGUGUCGGUCUGAUGGAAGUUAAAUUUAUUCUUAUAUGCAUUUCGCCUCAUAGUCGAAAUAUGCAUAAUAAUUAUAUAUUAUGUUUCAUUAUUAGAGAUAUGUUGUUAAUUAAAAUUAAUCAUACGAAAUUGAUCAUAUAACAAUAAAAACAAUAUUCUUAUAGGCAAAUUAAUGUUGCGCUUGAAACAUUUGAUCAAAAUUUGUAAGAACAGCUGAUCUAUUUCCGUUUGCAGGCGCAAAGCCGUGACGGUUAUCUCACGCAUUAUUCCGUUCGAGUGGUCGAAAUGGUAAUAGUUAAUUAAUUAACGAUUAAUCGAUUGCGGUUGCGCAACGAGUGGGACGUGUAUUUUACGAUGGCCGAUGGCAGUUUCGAUCAUCAUUGCGCCGUGGCUUCGAUUGAUUACAUCCUAUAUGCACAAGGCUGCAAAUCGUUAACUUUGAACAUUCGCAAAUGCAAAUGCAAACGCAAAUCAAAUCGCAUUAAUUAAUGAAUGAAGUGAGAUUACAGCGACCCCACUUUCUAUUAUGCGACACGAAAGCAGAAAGUUCGCAGUUCAUUCAUUAUACAAAUUGCAGCAGUGUUACAUUCCGAUGAAAUCUCUCCAUAGACUAACGCGUAGUCUGUCCGCACAAUUAGCAUUACAUGUCGCACUUUAAUUUCUAUUUCACGUUUAAAUUGAAUGCGAUAUUCAUAUCAUAUUUAAUAAAUCGCUCAAUUAGAUUUAAAUUAAUAAAUCGAUUUCGGAGAAUUAUCAUCGUCAUAUAAAUGCAUAUGAAUUCAAGUCAUCGUAUACCUGUAGAGUAGAAUAUCUGACUGAAAUUUGUCGUGAUAUAAUUUAUGGAAACAAAAAUUAUUAAUCAAAAGAGAAACGUUGUUAUAUUAUACAUCUUCACAGUUUACGAUAGGUUCAGGUCUCAAAAUUUAUUAAGUCUUUUUAGGCUCAUAAUUCUAAAUUAUUAAUGUUGAAAAAUGAAAAUUAUCACCAAUAGUCUCAUGAAGUAAUUGCCUUUUAUCACACAUAUAUCCGUUUGUUGAAACAAUUAAUAUCCAUUUCAUCAGUUUUCAAGUAAGCACAAUUCUCAUCGGUAAAGAAUUAAAGCGAAAAAGCAGCGUCGCGUGUAGCUGCCACUAAAACUAUGCGCCCAGUUUUCUUUUGAAAUAUAUUUCCGCAUGUGCGUUUUUAUCGCGAAUAAAGCGCAGAAAUGUGCGCGACCCUUUUCGGUUUUCCUGCAAAAGAGGUUGUCGGAUUUGAAGGCGCCAGGGCCGCUUUUAGGAUAAAAAUCGCGCAUUCGAAAUGACGAAACGGAAAGAGACGAACCGUGAAACGACCGGAGGACCCUUACCUGCGUCGGAGCCCGUUUCGUCCGAAGUACACGCUGAGGACGUGCUCGAGAGUUUUGCUUGCGAUCCUUGCUGCUGCAAACAUUCCGACUUGACUGAAGAUCCGACAUUAAUCGUGCGUAACGAUCGAAAUCUCUCUCCGUGACGUCUCUCUUUCACUUGGACGUGACAAAAAAAAUGCGCCGCUGAUUUCCCUGACGUUUAAUCGAACUUCACUUAGCAAUAUUACUCGACAAUAACAUUUCUUUCUUUUUCUAUUCUUCUGCUAAAUCUUAACUCUCAAAUUGUCAUUUUAUAUGUCAAUUACAUUUAUUAUACAUCUGUACGAAUAUUCCUUUUCCAUUCUUAAUUAUUCAAAAUUGUAUAAUUACACAAAUUGACUAAAAUCUCAUUUCAAAUAUUCUGUUUUUUCAGUUAGUAUUAUAAUAAUUAAGAAACUUUAAUUAAUAAUAAUUAAGAAACUUUAUGCGACUGUGUUUACAAUAAUAUUUAUUCUAAAUGUUAAUACGGUAUGGAAUACAGGAUGUAACUUUCACAAAUUUAGCUUUAGUGUAUUAUUACAGAUUAGAGUUUCAUUAUCCUUUCUGUUUUCAUAAGCUCACAGCUAAAUCUCAUACAAGAGAAUACGGCUUAACUUAAAUACAUUUACACUGGAGAGAUACAUAACGCACAUUUCAUCACAUUAUUCUUAUUACUCAUUACUUUUCUUAGUACUCAUUUACUUCUAUUCUUAUUAAUUAAAGGCUAUCAAAAAGCUACCAAAACGUUGUGAUUAUAGCAAGAACUGUAGAAACAUUGAAGAAUUAAGAAAUCCAAAAAAGACUACGAAAGAGAAUUUUUGUAUAUUUGUAUAUUAAUAAAUUAUUCAUUACAGAAUAGCACGUAACAAGUAAAAAGAUUUAAUCAACGUAAAAUUAUCCUAGAACGAAAUAUUAUCUCGAGAUAAAUAGCUGCAUUCUAUCACAUUUUGCUAUAAAUGUGAGUAACCAAAUAUAUAAUAUUUAUAUACAAAAAAACAACCAUAAUUACAAACAAAAUUAUAUAAAGAAUAGCAUUUUAUAAAAUAAAAGUUGUAAAUAUUUUUUGAUAUGCUUGUUGUUACAUCAGUAUCGUGUUGUUUUAUAGACACAAUACUUAAAAAAUUAAUUUGAUAAACGAUGCCUAUUAUUGGAUGCACUAAAGAGGACAAUUGCAAAAGAGAUGCUUUUCUAAAAGCUAGGCAGCUCGAGGCCGAACGAGGCACUGCAGGUACACUUACCCCAUUCCCAUUUAGUUUCGCGACAUUUCGUAUCAAAUAAUGCUUUAUCAAUGCGAAAAUAUUAUUCCACACGAUCCCCGAGCGAACCAAAGCGUACAACUAUUAUUCUACCGCGGUAUUAGGAAACCCACAUAAACAAGGGGAGAAUACCGAUCCGAAAAAGACCCGACAAGUGACAGUUUCAUCAGACGUUGACGUGGCCCCAGAUUUGUCCGGAAAUCCUGACGACGCAGCGCGUCACGCAUCCGGAAAUAAACAUCUAGACGAGCGAGCAGCCGCUCUCGACGAACCGGUCGCAAUUGCGCAAAAGGAUCCCGUAGAAAUCCCUGCAAGCUACGACAGUCCCCGAGAUACUUGUCCAGACUCGACAAGCUGAUGUACCAAAAUUGUCCGUUGACGGUCAAGAAACGAGAACCGAGAGUCAACGCGCACCUCGGGAAAUCCCGGAGUUUCGUGAGAGACAAGAUGUAAUCUAAAGCUUCUGGACAAAAAGCCGAAGCGAAAAUUAACGCUUAACGCUAAUUUGGUAUUCCCUUCGCUUCGAUAGCCUGCGGCAGCCAAAGUAAGGCUCUUUGACAUAAUGAAUGAUGGAAGCUUUUCCAUUGUCGGAUAACUUGCUUAAUUAAUUUGUUUCGUUUGGUUUCUGCUAUUCGCUUAAGUACGAUUGGUGAUACGAUUUGCUGUUAAUUAAUAUCUUACAAGUGAAUGCAAUUGAUCAUAAAUCAUUAUGUAUAAUUAUCAUAAAAUCAUUAAAAGCAGAAACUUAAAAUGUCUCUUUUAAAUUUAAAACUACGGAAAAAUAUACAGGAUGUAAUUUGAAUGGCUCUGAGAGAAUAAUAUAACUAUUCUUUUGUUCCUCAUUUUCUCAUAAAGUUGUUAAAAUAAUUUAUGUUCCUUUUAAUAGAAUUACACGUUUUUAUCUCUUGCUUGUAGCAACUGAAAAGAAUCUACAUGGUAAUUAUGGAAUAAUGUUGGAUUCAAAAAGAGAAAACAACAAAAUGAGAUAUUAUUUCAUUCAGAAUUUACAUAAAAAUUUUUGAAGGUUUAGAAUUCCAAGUGUUUUAUAUAUUUUUUCGUAUCUUUGAAUUCAAAAGAAAUAUUUGUGCACUCUAUUUCUGAUAAUUUAUUCCAUAUAUUAUGAAUAUUGACUCAACAAAUAAUUUAGUCCGUAGUUGAAUACGUGUCAACUUGUUAAUUAAAACGUGAAUUUAGUUUACUUCGGCUGUUUUACUUAUGGCUCGCGAAAGUCUCUUUUUCAUCUUGCGUCAGUCUUCUUGAUACUUCCUAAACGACGUUUUAUUUCCUCCGCGUCCCUAAUUCUCAUCCAAAGCCGAUUCAAUGUACGUGAAGCCGAUUCCAGCUGUUCCCGAGCCCUCGCAAAAACAAGUGGAUACGAAAGAAAUACCUCUCCACUUAACGACGGAUUACGGGGGAGAGAGCGACGAAUCGCAAGGGUAAAUUUGCCAACUACCCAAGUAAUUAAGGGCAGCCCAAUCGGGGAUUCUGGGUCACUUCCCCGCCCUGAAGCAGAGUGAGAGAAAGUGAGAGAGGAAAAAAAACGAAGAAGGGGACGCACGAAGUGUGUUCGCUUACCGAAGUCGUCCUGAACAAACUUUUCGCAAUCUUCCACGCCAUUAUAUCGCGAUGAGAAGAUCAAGCUAAGCCGACGGCGUGAUUUCGUACAACGCGAUACUGUCGAGCAGCUUUGUCACGAAAAAGCACGCAGGCGACCCUAAUUGUCCUGAUCCGAUUGUCCUGAUUGCCGGCACGAUGGACGACGAAGGUAAAUCCGAGGCGAGAUUACCAAACCGAAAUUUCGUUGUUCUUACGCGAGUUAAUCGCAAGUCUGUUUAUCGAUUACCUACAAGCUGACUUCGGACAUUGGCCGACCGUAGUUUCAAGAAGUUGGAAAGAAAGAUUUUGUAAUAUCGAAAAAUAGCAAAAAUUUUAACAUUUAUUAAGAAUAAUCGCGUUCAACGUAGACGUGAAUCUCGGACAUAAAUUUUUAGCGAUUGAUAAAUUUUUAAUUGGAAUUGAACAAAAGGAAAACGAUUCGCCUGAAAUGUUCCGUAUGUUUCUGCAGUUUCGAACAAGACUGCCGAUUCUAAGGCAAUAAAAUCAGAAAUGCCAGAUGGUGCGGAAGACUCCUCAUUACAGACUGCAAUGAUCGAAGAAACGCGAGAGGAUAGCAGCUUGUCGGAGGCAGCUAUCGAUGGAGGAUCCGAGCUUGAUGAGGAGAAAAACGAAAGAUACCAAACGGCCGUAUUUACAUUGACUACGUUUGCUGUAGUUUUCGUGCUUUAUGUAUACGUGGUGUAUAGCCUGAGCAGUCCGCCCACUCUGUCCCAAUGUUAAUUCCCGUUUAAUUAACUAAUUCAAAAACAAAGUACUGCGCAUCUUAUCGCAAGUUAUACGAAUUAAAUUAAAUGCAAAAUUAUCGUUUCCACAAUUUUGAGAACAAACUUCACUCUUAUGUUUCUCAGAAUUGAGUACAGUAUUUUUUCAUUUAAUUAAAAUAUUAUUACGCCUAAUUUUUGAUAAUAUUUUCACAAUAAUUUGUAAAUAUCUGUUUUUAUAAUUUUUAAUAUUUUGAUGAAUAUAUUUAUAUUUCUCUCAAAUUACUGUAUAUACAUUUAAACGUAUAUAGUAUGUAUAUGAAUUAUAUUUUAUCAAAUUUUUGAUAUUUCUUUGAAUUUCUGGGGAAAAAUGAUUAAGUCGAAUUGUUAAGCGAAUGGCCUACUUCUGAGAAAUUAAUUAAAUUUCUGGAAUUUCUCUUUGACAGUGAGCAACGAUUUCUCAGUUCGCCAUGUGAUAUAAUAUGAGUAUGAUCUUAUCUUUCCGUUCUCUCUACCUCUCUCUCUUUCUCUCUUUGUCUUGUUCCUUUUUGGAACAUAGAAAGAUAUUGUGUCGUAUAAAUCUUUCUUUUCCACCUCUGAACGUGGAAUUACACUCGAAAAUAUGUUUCGAAUGACUGCACCGAACUUAAUGAUCGGAGUUACCACGGCACUAUCACAUUUCCUUGCAAUGAAAAUUUAAGGAGACGCCGCACUAACGAUAUAUUAACAUGGGAAUAUGUAGUUGGAAGUAUCGCGCGAUAUGAUAUUCAGUGAUGAGUUUUCCUUAUUUCGCUGUGUUUUAUGUCUACAAGUAUUAAAACAGCUUUACAGCUUUCUCCUUUUAUGAAAAGCGUAACCGUAAAACUACAUAUAAAAUAUUGAAGAAAAAAAGAAAAGA